rnacentral:rRNA from 1 species
UACGUAGGGGGCAAGCGUUGUCCGGAAUCAUUGGGCGUAAAGAGCGUGUAGGCGGCCCGGUAAGUCCGCUGUGAAAGUCCAGGGCUCAACCCUGGGAUGCCGGUGGAUACUGUCGAUCUGGAGUAUGGAAGAGGUGAGUGGAAUUCCGAGUGUAGAGGUGAAAUUCGUAGAUAUUCGGAGGAACACCAGUGGCGAAGGCGGCUCACUGGUCCAUUACUGACGCUGAGACGCGAAAGCGUGGGGAGCGAACAGG